rnacentral:rRNA from 1 species
GACGAACGCUGGCGGCGUGCCUAAUACAUGCAAGUAGAACGCUGAAGGAGGAGCUUGCUUCUCUGGAUGAGUUGCGAACGGGUGAGUAACGCGUAGGUAACCUGCCUGGUAGCGGGGGAUAACUAUUGGAAACGAUAGCUAAUACCGCAUAACAGUAGAUAUCGCAUGAUAUCUACUUGAAAGGUGCAAUUGCAUCACUACCAGAUGGACCUGCGUUGUAUUAGCUAGUUGGUGAGGUAACGGCUCACCAAGGCGACGAUACAUAGCCGACCUGAGAGGGUGAUCGGCCACACUGGGACUGGGACCCGGCCCAGACUCCUACGGGAGGCAGCAGUAGGGAAUCUUCGGCAAUGGACGGAAGUCUGACCGAGCAACGCCGCGUGAGUGAAGAAGGUUUUCGGAUCGUAAAGCUCUGUUGUAAGAGAAGAACGAGUGUGAGAGUGGAAAGUUCACACUGUGACGGUAUCUUACCAGAAAGGGACGGCUAACUACGUG